AACGAACGCUGGCGGCAGGCUUAACACAUGCAAGUCGAACGCGUGCAGCAAUUCACGAGUGGCGCACGGGUGAGUAACGAGUGGAUAUCUGCCUUUUGGUUCGGAAUAACCCCGGGAAACUGGGGCUAAUACCGGAUGGUUCCUACGGGAUAAAGAUUUAUCGCCAAAAGAUGAGUCCGCGUCCGAUUAGCUAGUUGGUGAGGUAAUGGCUCACCAAGGCGACGAUCGGUAGCUGGUCUGAGAGGACGAUCAGCCACACUGGGACUGAGACACGGCCCAGACUCCUACGGGAGGCAGCAGUGGGGAAUAUUGGACAAUGGGGGCAACCCUGAUCCAGCCAGGCCGGGUGAGUGAUGAAGGCCUUCGGGUUGUAAAGCUCUUUUGGCCGGGACGAUGAUGACGGUACCCGCAGAAUAAGCCCCGGCUAACUUCGUG
rnacentral:rRNA from 1 species